AUAAGCUGUCGCUAUGGGGAUGGGCCCCCGCGGUGCAUUAGCUAGUUGGUAAAGGUAAAAGGGCUUACCAAGGCGAUGAUGCAUAGCCGAGUUGAGAGACUGAUCGGCCACAUUGGGACUGAGACACGGCCCAAACUCCUACGGGAGGCAGCAGUAGGGAAUCUUCCACAAUGGACGCAAGUCUGAUGGAGCAACGCCGCGUGAGUGAAGAAGGUUUUCGGAUCGUAAAGCUCUGUUGUUGGUGAAGAAGGAUAGAGGUAGUAACUGGCCUUUAUUUGACGGUAAUCAACCAGAAAGUCACGGCUAACUACGUGCCAGCAGCCGCGUAAAU
rnacentral:rRNA from 1 species